UACGUAGGGUGCGAGCGUUAAUCGGAAUUACUGGGCGUAAAGCGUGCGCAGGCGGUUCGUUAAGUCAGAUGUGAAAGCCCCGGGCUCAACCUGGGAACUGCAUUUGAAACUGGCGGGCUUGAGUGUGGCAGAGGGGGGUGGAAUUCCGCGUGUAGCGGUGAAAUGCGUAGAUAUCUGAAGGAACAUCAGUGGCGAAAGCGACUUCCUGGACCAAUACUGACGCUCAUGUGCGAAAGCGUGGGGAGCAAACAGG
rnacentral:rRNA from 1 species